rnacentral:rRNA from 1 species
UGAUCCUGGCUCAGGACGAACGCUGGCGGUGUGCUUAACACAUGCAAGUCAACGAGAAUUUAUCUUCGGAUAAUAGUAAAGUGGCGAACGGGUGAGUAACGCGUAAAUAACUUGCCUUGGAGAUUGGGACAACAUUGGGAAACCAGUGCUAAUACCAAAUAAUGCAGCGGGCCCUUCGGGGCAUAGUUGUUAAAGUAGGCUUCGGCUUACACUUCAAGAUAGAUUUGCGUCCGAUUAGUUAGUUGGUAGGGUAAUAGCCUACCAAGACCGAGAUCAGUAGCUGGUCUGAGAGGAUGAUCAGCCACACCGGGACUGAGACACGGCCCGGACUCCUACGGGAGGCAGCAGUGGGGAAUAUUGGACAAUGGGCGAAAGCCUGAUCCAGCCAUGCCGCGUGUGUGAAGAAGGCCCUAGGGUUGUAAAGCACUUUAAGCUGGGAAGAAAAAGGUUCGGCUAAUACCCGUACCCUUGACGGUACCAGCAGAAUAAGCACCGGCUAACUUCGUGCCAGCAGCCGCGGUAAUACGAAGGGUGCAAGCGUUAAUCGGAAUUACUGGGCGUAAAGCGUGCGUAGGCGGUUACGUGUGUCAGAUGUGAAAGCCCUGGGCUCAACCUGGGAAUUGCAUUUGAAACUGCGUGACUAGAGUAUGGUAGAGGAAGAUGGAAUUCCACGUGUAGCGGUGAAAUGCGUAGAUAUGUGGAGGAACACCAAUGGCGAAGGCAGUCUUCUGGGCCAAUACUGACGCUGAGGCACGAAAGCGUGGGGAGCAAACAGGAUUAGAUACCCUGGUAGUCCACGCCGUAAACGAUGAGAACUAGACGUUGGUUUGCAUAGCGAAUCAGUGUCGAAGUUAACGCGAUAAGUUCUCCGCCUGGGGGUACGGCCGCAAGGUUGAAACUCAAAAGAAUUGACGGGGGCCCGCACAAGCGGUGGAGCAUGUGGUUUAAUUCGAUGCAACGCGAAGAACCUUACCUGGUCUUGACAUCACGUCGCGGCUCUGGAGACAGAGCUUUCAGUUCGGCUGGACGUUGACAGGUGCUGCAUAGCUGUCGUCAGCUCGUGUCGUGAGAUGUUGGGUUAAGUCCCGCAACGAGCGCAACCCCUAUCCUUAGUUGCCAGCAUUUAGUUGGGCACUCUAAGGAGACUGCCGGUGACAAACCGGAGGAAGGUGGGGAUGACGUCAAGUCCUCAUGGCCCUUAUGACCAGGGCUACACACGUGCUACAAUGGCAAGUACAGAGGGUGGCCAACCCGCGAGGGGGAGCUAAUCCCAGAAAGCUUGUCGUAGUCCGGAUCGCAGUCUGCAACUCGACUGCGUGAAGUCGGAAUCGCUAGUAAUCGCAGAUCAGCACUGCUGCGGUGAAUACGUUCCCGGGCCUUGUACACACCGCCCGUCACACCAUGGAAGUUGGCUGCAAAAGAAGUAGCUAGUCUAACCUUCGGGAGGACGGUUACCACUUUGUGGUCAAUGACUGGGGUGAAGUCGUAACAAGGUAACC